GUAAGACUACAGAAAACCGGAUACCUUCCAUCAUCUUUGAAAGCAUGCGAGUUUACUUAGGGUUAGGGCAAGGGUUAGGUUUAGGGGCAGGGA